AUGGCUUCUGGUUCCUCCUCCGCAGCAAUGCAGCUGGCCAUCAUUGGCCCUGUGGUGAUGCCUCCAGCCGCGACGGCGUCGGUCCCAUCCAUCGCGCCCUCCCUUGGUGUCAGAUUGGAUCGCGGCAACUUCCCGCUAUGGCGAACCCUCACCGUGACGCAUCUCUCCGGUGCUUCUCUCCAUGGCUACCUCGACGGUUCCGUUGCUGCCCUGCCCACAACCAUCACCCAGGGGGCGGGCGAUGCAGCCACUAUGGUGGCAAACCUUGCGUACGCGACAUGGUGGACGCAGGACCAGAAGGUCCUCGGGAUGCUCCUCUCCUCCAUGACGGAGGACAUUGCAUCUCAGCUGAUUAGCUGUAAGUCCGCUGUUGCCGCGUGGACCUCCAUCCACGCCAUGUUCAGCGCGCAGAAUCGUGCCGGAGUUCGGCACAUCCGGCGAUAG
rnacentral:rRNA from 1 species